CAGCCGCCACGGUAAUACGUAGGUGGCAAGCGUUGUCCGGAAUUAUUGGGCGUAAAGGGCUCGCAGGCGGUUUCUUAAGUCUGAUGUGAAAGCCCCCUGCUCAACCGGGGAGGGUCAUUGGAAACUGGGAAACUUGAGUGCAGAAGAGGAGAGUGGAAUUCCACGUGUAGCGGUGAAAUGCGUAGAGAUGUGGAGGAACACCAGUGGCGAAGGCGACUCUCUGGUCUGUAACUGACGCUGAGGAGCGAAAGCGUGGGGAGCGAACAGGAUUAGAUACCCCCGUAGUCCCUGUCUCUUAUAA
rnacentral:rRNA from 1 species